GCAUCCUUAGUACAGUGGUUAGUACACUUGACAUGGACAUAAGAGAUGUGGGGUCAAUUCCCUCAGUACCCA
rnacentral:tRNA from 1 species